rnacentral:lncRNA from 1 species
AGCAGCCCUGCGUUUCCAGUGUACUUGUGGCCCCGUAAGCUUCCCCUGAAGUCCAGAGGACCCGCUCUGAGGUUCUGAGCAAGCCUGGCUCCCGGGUCCAGGGUGGGGCUGGCAGCAUUCGGGCCCAGGGGCUUGGGAGCUGUCAGAGGACAACUCCAAGAAGGGAGUCCCUGGAGACCUGCAGGAGGUGUCGCAGCCUGCUUGGCUGGAAAGAGACACGCCACUUUUGGUGCCAGCUUCCAGAAAGGGCUUUGAAAGCUCUGCUUGGAGCAAGAACUGAGAUGAAGAAGAGCCAAGUCUUGUCUGCCCCCCAAAAUAAGGAAAUUCUGUCACAUGCUGCAACAUAG